AGUGAACGCUGGCGGUAGGCCUAACACAUGCAAGUCGAACGGCAGCACAGUAAGAGCUUGCUCUUACGGGUGGCGAGUGGCGGACGGGUGAGGAAUACAUCGGAAUCUACUUUUUCGUGGGGGAUAACGUAGGGAAACUUACGCUAAUACCGCAUACGACCUACGGGUGAAAGCAGGGGAUCUUCGGACCUUGCGCGAUUGAAUGAGCCGAUGUCGGAUUAGCUAGUUGGCGGGGUAAAGGCCCACCAAAGCGACGAUCCGUAGCUGGUCUGAGAGGAUGAUCAGCCACACUGGAACUGAGACACGGUCCAGACGCCUACGGGAGGCAGCAGUGGGGAAUAUUGGACAAUGGGCGCAAGCCUGAUCCAGCCAUACCGCGUGGGUGAAGAAGGCCUUCGGGUUGUAAAGCCCUUUUGUUGGGAAAGAAAAGCAGCAGGUUAAUACCCCGCUGUUCUGACGGUACCCAAAGAAUAAGCACCGGCUAACUUCGUG
rnacentral:rRNA from 1 species